CCUACGGGUGGCAGCAGUGAGGAAUAUUGGUCAAUGGGCGCGAGCCUGAACCAGCCAAGUAGCGUGAAGGAUGACUGCCCUACGGGUUGUAACCUUCUUUUAUAAAGGAAUAAAGUGAGGCACGUGUGCCUUUUUGUAUGUACUUUAUGAAUAAGGAUCUGCUAACUCUGUGCCAGCAGCCGCGGUAAUACGGAGGAUCCGAGCGUUAUCCGGAUUUAUUGGGUUUAAAGGGAACUUAUAUGGGUUGUUAAGUCAGUUGUGAAUGUUUGCGGCUCAACCUUAAAAUUUCAAUUGAUACUGGCAGUCUUGAGUACAGUUGAGGUAGGCGGAAUUCGUGGUGUAGCGGUGAAAUGCUUAUAUAUCACGAAGAACUCCGAUUGCGAAGGCAGCUUACUAAACUGCCACUGACAUUGAUGCUCGAAAGUGUGGGUAUCAAACAGGAUUAGAUACCCUAGUAGUC
rnacentral:rRNA from 1 species